ACUACGGGUGGCAGCAGUGAGGAAUAUUGGUCAAUGGGCGGAAGCCUGAACCAGCCAAGUAGCGUGCAGGAUGACGGCCCUACGGGUUGUAAACUGCUUUUAUACGGGAAUAACGCGCCUUACGUGUAGGGCUUUGCAUGUACCGUAUGAAUAAGGACCGGCUAAUUCCGUGCCAGCAGCCGCGGUAAUAGGGAAGGUCCGGGCGUUAUCCGGAUUUAUUGGGUUUAAAGGGAGCGUAGGCGGCAUGUCAGGCGUGCGGCGAAAUGUCCGGGCGCAACCCGGGCCGUGCAGCGCGAACUGGCGUGCUUGAGUCCGCAGAAAGCAGGCGGAAUGCGUCGGGUAGCGGUGAAAUGCUUAGAUAUGACGAAGAACCCCGAUUGCGAAGGCAGCUUGCUGCAGCGGAACUGACGCUGAUGCUCGAAAGCGCGGGUAUCGAACAGGAUUAGAUACCCCAGUAGUC
rnacentral:rRNA from 1 species